rnacentral:rRNA from 1 species
UACAUGGGGUGCAAACGUUGCUCGGAAUCAUUGGGCGUAAAGCGCGCGUAGGCGGUUGCUUAAGUCGGAUGUGAAAGCCCUCGGCUUAACUGAGGAAGUGCAUCCGAAACUGAGCAGCUAGAGUACGAAAGAGGGUCGCGGAAUUCCCGGUGUAGAGGUGAAAUUCGUAGAUAUCGGGAGGAACACCAGUGGCGAAGGCGGCGAUCUGGGUCGAUACUGACGCUGAGGUGCGAAAGCGUGGGGAGCAACAGG